rnacentral:rRNA from 1 species
GACGAACGCUGGCGGCGUGCCUAAUACAUGCAAGUAGAACGCUGAAGAGAGGAGCUUGCUCUUCUUGGAUGAGUUGCGAACGGGUGAGUAACGCGUAGGUAACCUGCCUGGUAGCGGGGGAUAACUAUUGGAAACGAUAGCUAAUACCGCAUAAUAGCAGUUAUUGCAUGAUAACUGUUUGAAAGGUGCAAAUGCAUCACUACCAGAUGGACCUGCGUUGUAUUAGCUAGUUGGUGGGGUAACGGCUCACCAAGGCGACGAUACAUAGCCGACCUGAGAGGGUGAUCGGCCACACUGGGACUGAGACACGGCCCAAACUCCGACGGGAGGCAGCAGUAGGGAAUCUUCGGCAAUGGACGGAAGUCUGACCGAGCAACGCCGCGUGAGUGAAGAAGGUUUUCGGAUCGUAAAGCUCUGUUGUAAGAGAAGAAACGAGUGUGAGAAGUGGAAAG